AGGUUCUGCACGACCUGGCCCAGCCCACCUUUCCAGCCUCCUGUCCCUAUAUGGUCCAUACCCACCCGAUCUCCCCCCCGCCCCCCAACAUCAACCCUGCUCUUCUGACCUCUUCACAGGACUCACUCCUCUCUUCCUUCCCAGCCCAGGUUGUUAGACAUGAAUCUAGGUACUCCCUGAUUUGUGUAGAAGGGAAAAGAAGAAGGAAUGAUGGCUGUGGCACACCGUGAUCUCAGAAUCCUUGCUGUUUCCCAGGCACAGGGCCAACAGUUCCCGAUGGAUCAUUUCAUUUCAUUCUUUCUAGCAGUCUGUGAGCUCCUGGGCACCUCUGUGCGUUCUGGCUCCAUGCACUUGCCUGUCCUAGGUUGCUCCUCUAAGUGGAUUCGUACAGCAUUUGUCAUUUUGUGACCGGCUUCCAUCAGUCUUCAAGGUGCAUCCCCAUUGGAGCAGGCGCCAGAACUUUCCUUUCACAUUUCACAGCUGAGAAAUGCUCCUGUGUGCGGAGAGACCACAUUUUGCUCAGCCAUUCAUCUGUCACUGGACACUCUCGCCUUUCGGCUGCCGAGACUGCUGCUGCUCAGGGCACUGGUGUGUGACAAUGUGCUGGGGUCCCUGCCUCCCCUGCCAUCGGGCAGAUACCUGGCAGUGGACUUGUGGCAUCACGGGGCGGCUGCAUGUUUGCUCUCUGGGGAGCCUGCCAACCUUUUUCCAGAGUGGGCGCACCGCUUUACACUCCCACCGGCGAUGCACGAGGACUUCCCAUUUCUCUGCGUUCUCACCGACACGUGUUUUAUUUAGUCUUGUUUCUGGUAGUGGCCAUCCUAGGGGGUGUGAGGUGGGGUUCUGGAGAAAUGUCUAUGCAAAUCCGUACUCUGUUUUUUAAACACUUUAAAAAAUCCAAGUAUAAUUUAAUACUGUGGGACUUACCCAUUUUAGUGAAUACUUCCAUGACCCUUCCUUGCUUCCUCCAGCUCCUGGCAUUUGGCCCAUGGCCGCGUCUCUGCCUCUGCCUUCACGUGGCGCCUUCCCCGUAGAUCAGAUCUCCUCUCCUCCUGUCACGAGGACUCUGUCAUCGGAUUUAGGACCCACCCUAAUGCAGGAUGAGCUCACCUUGAUCCUUGCCUUAAUCCCAUCUGCAGAGACUCCGUUUCCAAAUAAGGUCAUAGUCACAGGCACCGCCCUUGGGGCUCUGACUAUCUUUUUGGGGGACACAAUUCAACCCACUACAGAGCUCCAUAAUCAAGAUACAGAGCCAUCCUAUCAAUGCUGCCUCAAAUUACUUUUGUUUUUCAAUGAAAAAGAUGAAAACAGGGCCAUCGUGUCCUCACUGUGAUGAAACUGACUUCAGUCCACUUGAUGAUAGAUUAUACACCCAUCUUUCUUUCACCUGAGAGGGCUCCUUCGUCAUUUAAAAGAAGCCCAAGUGAUAGAUGGGAGUUUCUGGAAAGAGAAACACACGUUAUCCUGCACUUGAACCCUCAGAGCCUAGCCCAAUGCCCAGUGCAUAGUAGUGCCGGGUCCGUGUUUGUCGAGUGACUAUACAAAAGAGUGAGUUUCCAGGGAGCUGGGAGGAUGCCACUUGUCUCCAGCCACCUGUCCUUUCUGGGCACCCCUUGCCUGUCCAGUCCCACACCGGACCAAACCGACUUGCUCCGCGGGCCUUCUCCAGAAACCUCCAGGCAUUUUGCAGUCGGCUGCUUGCGGGGACCAGAGGUGUGUUUCUCCUGCUUUGGCCUCUCCCCCUUCGAGGGUUUUCAUUCCAGAGAGGGCUAAGGCAACUCUCUCCAGGUUUUAUAAGCUGAUAGAACAGGGCUGUCAAAUGCUUUUUAUGGGAGAAGAAACAGGAAGAUGGUUUGUUUUGCAGACAGCGGAUUAUUGAGUAAUUACAUUUUUAUAGAGCUGUUGUGGGGCAAAUCACGGCCCCGCUGUCUCCUUUGAUGCCAAAAGGCAGACGGCCCCAUAAAGAUCAGAACAAGCGAAGGUGAAAGGGGUCAGAGACAGAGCUGCCCCUUCGGGAAAUGCCCCCUCUUGCCAUGUGUGUUUUGGCUCGUCAUACUCAUAGCAACCUUCUUGCCUCCUUCCCCUGCAUAUAGAGAAAAGGAGAGACAGAAAAAAAGGUGUUGCCUGGUCGGGCCACCCCGGAGGGCAACAGUGCUGUUUAUUCUCCCUCUAAUACUGACUGACUCACUCACUCAUUCACCUACCCAUUCAUUAAUUCACUCCCUUAUUUAUCCAUUCAUUCAUUCACUCAUUCAUUCAGGCCUACAUUCAAGGGCUUGGGUACUUGCUAAGAGGCCCAAGGUAUAUUCAUUUUUUUUUUUUUUUUUCCUGAGCCUCCAUUUCUCUGUCCACUGAACACACAGGAAUCUGGGCUCACUAUGUGUCAUACACGACGGUGAUCAGGCUGAGCACAACCAGAGCCAUGGAGAAGAGUGGCGACAGAGUGUCGCCCCUGUAUAAAUGUGAGAUGUCACAGUGAUAUGUGCAACUUGGGAGGGGGAGAGGCGCAGGAGUGCCCCUAACAAGGCAUGUGAACUUGUCUGAGAAGACUUUCCUGGUGACUGAGACCUAAAGGUCAGAAGGAGUUGUCCAGCCAAGAGGUGGUGAUGGUGGCGGCCGGGGGUGGGGAAUGGUAGGGAGAGAAUAUUCCAGGCCAAGUGAGACAGCUCUGCCCAGGCUCCAUGGAAGGAGAGCUCGUGAAGCUUCCAAAUGAGCCGCGGGGCCCAAGCCAGCUGCUUUUAGACAGGCCCCAUGCCGGUUGUGCUGCCCAGAGCUGUGGCCAGGAAAUCCCUGUUCAGGCCUUGUUUGGCUCCAUUUCAAAGAUGGCCUCCCUUUGCAGAAAGAAAAUGUGCCACUGGGCUACUAUCUUAGACCCAGCCAUCCAUCUGGAGAAAGCCCUGUGGGCCCAGGUCUGGGGAGGCUCAGGCAAGCAGCCAGCAUGGUCAUGGCCUGGACUGAGGCCUUUCUUUCUGCCCUGGCAGGUUCCAGAAAGCUGUUCAUUGCUACUCCUUUUCCUGUCAGGUUAGGAACCAGACUGAGGGCCUGUUUUUUUACUGGUCCCAUCUGGAGACAAGUGUUUCAAAUCAAGUUGUCCCCUUCCCUGGUUUUAAAGAUGGCGGCCUCUUCUGGAGGCUUCCCGUCCCCCAUGCUGAUUUCCGGCUGUGGGACAAGUACCUUAAUAAAUGACUAUUUAUUUGGCCGCCCAGCCCUUCUGUGUGUGUU